UACCGGGGACAGCGCGGGGAGGAAGGGGGGAGGCGAGAUCCACCUCCGAGAGAAAUAAUGGGGAUGAUAAUAAAACAGGGGGAAAACCCGUCCGAGGGAAGCUGAAUGGAUGGAGCAAGGCAGACGUCACGGCCAGCCGCAGCCAUGAAGACCGUGCGGUCCAGCCUCCGGCAACUCAGUUGGUCUCCAUCUCCCGAGCCGCACGCUUCUCGAUUUUGGAGAGCGGACGCCGUGGAGACUCCCAGGCGACGGCGUCAGAACUUGGCCCAUGUUACUUCGCCUGCAGAUUGAGAGGAUGGGUAGCCUUAGGGGUUGGUUGUUAUCUUUGGUUAUCUAGCUGUAUGAGUGAUGUACAUUCUUCAUAAAGCUAGAUAACCGAAAGUAACAAGAAUCCCAUUACACUCCUGAAAAGGCAUCAAGACCCCAAAUGCGCCUCCCUGCAAGAAAAUGCAAACUUUGCCAGAAGAAUUGUAACAUGAGAGAAGAAAAUGGACUACAUUUUAAAGAAGACGGGAAUGCGAUGCAACAAAAGGCUACCACAUUACUGAAGGAAAGCUGGCAAAAGAAGACUGAAAAACAGAGAAGGAGGAGGGGUUGUUGUUGAUUCUGCCCUC